UUAAGCGACCAAGCGUACACGGUGGAUGCCCUGGCAGUCAGAGGCGAUGAAGGACGUGCUAAUCUGCGAAAAGCGCCGGUAAGGUGAUAUGAACCGUUAUAACCGGCGAUGUCCGAAUGGGGAAACCCAGUGUGACUCGUCACACUAUCAUUAACUGAAUCCAUAGGUUAAUGAGGCGAACCGGGGGAACUGAAACAUCUAAGUACCCCGAGGAAAAGAAAUCAACCGAGAUUCCCCCAGUAGCGGCGAGCGAACGGGGAGGAGCCCAGAGCCUGAAUCAGCAUGUGUGUUAGUGGAAGCGUCUGGAAAGGCGCGCGAUACAGGGUGAGAGCCCCGUACACAAAAGCGCACGUGCUGUGAGCUCGAUGAGUAGGGCGGGACACGUGGUAUCCUGUCUGAAUAUGGGGGGGACCAUCCUCCAAGGCUAAAUACUCCUGACUGACCGAUAGUGAACCAGUACCGUGAGGGAAAGGCGAAAAGAACCCCGGCGAGGGGAGUGAAACAGAACCUGAAACCGUGUACGUACAAGCAGUGGGAGCCCCACCACUAAGCCAGUGGUGAACUCCACAUACGCAUCCUUUGCUGAGGAUACGGUUAACGGAGCGAAAGCGACGUUCAGCCGCAAAAGAAGCAGAGGGGGCUUAGUGGUGGGGUGACUGCGUACCUUUUGUAUAAUGGGUCAGCGACUUAUAUUCUGUAGCAAGGUUAACCGCAUAGGGGAGCCGGAGGGAAACCGAGUCUUAAUUGGGCGUUAAGUUGCAGGGUAUAGACCCGAAACCCGGUGAUCUAGCCAUGGGCAGGUUGAAGGUUGGGUAACACUAACUGGAGGACCGAACCGACUAAUGUUGAAAAAUUAGCGGAUGACCUGUGGCUGGGGUGAAAGGCCAAUCAAACCGGGAGAUAGCUGGUUCUCCCCGAAAGCUAUUUAGGUAGCGCCUCGUGAAUUCAUCUCCGGGGGUAGAGCACUGUUUCGGCCAGGGGGCCAUCCCGGCUUACCAAUCCGAUGCAAACUGCGAAUACCGGAGAAUGUUAUCACGGGAGACACACGGCGGGUGCUAACGUCCGUCGUGAAGAGGGAAACAACCCAGACCGCCAGCUAAGGUCCCAAAGUCAUGGUUAAGUGGGAAACGAUGUGGGAAGGCCCAGACAGCCAGGAUGUUGGCUUAGAAGCAGCCAUCAUUUAAAGAAAGCGUAAUAGCUCACUGGUCGAGUCGGCCUGCGCGGAAGAUGUAACGGGCUAAACCAUGCACCGAAGCUGCGGCAGCGACACUGAUGUGUUGUUGGGUAGGGGAGCGUUCUGUAAGCCGUUGAAGGUGUGUCCGUGAGGCAUGCUGGAGGUAUCAGAAGUGCGAAUGCUGACAUAAGUAACGAUAAAGCGGGUGAAAAGCCCGCUCGCCGGAAGACCAAGGGUUCCUGUCCAACGUUAAUCGGGGCAGGGUGAGUCGACCCCUAAGGCGAGGCCGAAAGGCGUAGUCGAUGGGAAACGGGUUAAUAUUCCCGUACUUGGUGUUACUGCGAAGGGGGGGACGGAGAAGGCUAUGUUGGCCGGGCGACGGUUGUCCCGGUUUAAGCGUGUAGGUGUGUGUUCCAGGUAAAUCCGGUUCACUUUAACACUGAGGCGUGACGACGAGGCACUACGGUGCUGAAGCAACAAAUGCCCUGCUUCCAGGAAAAGCCUCUAAGCCUCAGGUAACAUCAAAAUCGUACCCCAAACCGACACAGGUGGUCAGGUAGAGAAUACCAAGGCGCUUGAGAGAACUCGGGUGAAGGAACUAGGCAAAAUGGUGCCGUAACUUCGGGAGAAGGCACGCUGACACGUAGGUGAAGUGGUUUACCCAUGGAGCUGAAGUCAGUCGAAGAUACCAGCUGGCUGCAACUGUUUAUUAAAAACACAGCACUGUGCAAACACGAAAGUGGACGUAUACGGUGUGACGCCUGCCCGGUGCCGGAAGGUUAAUUGAUGGGGUCAGCGCAAGCGAAGCUCCUGAUCGAAGCCCCGGUAAACGGCGGCCGUAACUAUAACGGUCCUAAGGUAGCGAAAUUCCUUGUCGGGUAAGUUCCGACCUGCACGAAAUGGCGUAAUGAUGGCCAGGCUGUCUCCACCCGGGACUCAGUGAAAUUGAACUCGCUGUGAAGAUGCAGUGUACCCGCGGCAAGACGGAAAGACCCCGUGAACCUUUACUAUAGCUUGACACUGAACACUGGUCCUUGAUGUGCAGGAUAGGUGGGAGGCUUUGAAGUGUGGACGCCAGUCUGCAUGGAGCCAUCCUUGAAAUACCACCCUUUAAUGGCUGGUGUUCUAACGUGGACCCGUAAUCCGGGUUGCGGACCAGUGUCUGGUGGGUAGUUUGACUGGGGCGGUCUCCUCCUAAAGAGUAACGGAGGAGCACGAAGGUUGGCUUAAUCCUGGUCGGACAUCAGGAGGUUAGUGCAAUGGCAUAAGCCAGCUUGACUGCGAGCGUGACGGCGCGAGCAGGUGCGAAAGCAGGUCAUAGUGAUCCGGUGGUUCUGAAUGGAAGGGCCCAUCGCUCAACGGAUAAAAGGUACUCCGGGGAUAACAGGCUGAUACCGCCCCAAGAGUUCAUAUCGACGGCGGUGUUUGGCACCUCGAUGUCGGCUCAUCACAUCCUGGGGCUGAAGUAGGUCCCAAGGGUAUGGCUGUUCGCCAUUUAAAGUGGUACGCGAGCUGGGUUUAGAACGUCGUGAGACAGUUCGGUCCCUAUCUGCCGUGGGCGCUGGAAGAUUGAGGGGGGCUGCUCCUAGUACGAGAGGACCGGAGUGGACGCAUCACUGGUGUUCGGGUUGUCAUGCCAAUGGCACUGCCCGGUAGCUACAUGCGGAAGAGAUAAGUGCUGAAAGCAUCUAAGCACGAAACUUGCCCGAGAUGAAUCUUCCCUGAGCCUUUAAGGCUCCUGAAGGAACGUUGAAGACGACGACGUUGAUAGGCCGGUGUGUAAGCGCAGCGAUGCGUUGAGCUAACCGGUACUAAUGAACCGUGAGGCUUAACCUU
rnacentral:rRNA from 1 species